AGGGUCACUUGGCAGAUAUGGAUUGACACCUGUCCUCAGAGGAUGUGUGUGUGUCUCUGAGGAUGAGGACAGGUGUCAAUCCAUAUCUGCCAAGUGACCCU